rnacentral:rRNA from 1 species
ACGAACGCUGGCGGCGUGCCUAAUACAUGCAAGCCAAAGGAAAGUGGCAACAUGAGUACUUGGCGCAAGGGUGCGUAAUGUAUGGGUUAUCUGCCCUUUGGUCUGGGAUAACUCAUCGAAAGAUGAGAUAAAACCAGAUAAUGAGGAAACUCCAAAAGCAAUGCCAAAGGAUGAGCCUAUAUCCCAUCAGGUAGUUGGUAGGGUAAAGGCCUACCAAGCCGACGACGGGUAGCUGGUCUGAGAGGAUGWUCAGCCACACUGGAACUGAGACACGGUCCAGACAUCUACGGAUGGCAGCAGUKAGGAAUAUUGCUCAAUGGGUGAAAGCCUGAAGCAGCAACGCCGCGUGGGCGAUGAAGGUCUUCGGAUUGUAAAGCCCUUUUGUAGGGAACGAAAAACUCGCUUGGCGAGCCUGACGGUACCCUACGAAUAAGCCACGGCUAACUCUGUGCCAGCAGCCGCGGUGAUACAGAGGUGGCGAGCGUUGUCCGGAUUUACUGGGUGUAAAGGGUGCGUAGGCGGAUUUGUAAGUCGAGGGUUAAAGACCUUCGCUCAACGAAGGGAAUGCUCUCGAUACUACAAGUCUAGAGUGCCGAAGAGGAGGCUGGAAUUUCCGGUGUAGCGGUGGAAUGUGCAGAGAUCGGAAAGAACACCAGUGGCGAAGGCAGGUCUCUGGUCGGUAACUGACGCUGAUACACGAAAGCGUGGGGAGCAAAC